GCAAGUCGUGCGGGGUAGCAAUACCUAGCGGCAGACGGGUGCGUAACAUGUGGGAAUAUGCGUUUUGGUUCGGAACAACAUUGGGAAACCUGUGCUAAUACCGGAUAAGUCCUAACGGAGAAAGUUUUAAUGCCAAAAGAUGAGCCCGCAUUUGAUUAGCUUGUUGGUGAGGUAAAAGCUCACCAAGGCUAUGAUCAAUAGCUGAUUUGAGAGGAUGAUC
rnacentral:rRNA from 1 species